GACAGAGGGUGCAAACGUUGUUCGGAAUUACUGGGCGUAAAGCGAGUGUAGGCGGUCUGAAAAGUCGGGUGUGAAAGCCCCGGGCUCAACCCGGGAAGUGCACUCGAAACUGCCAGGCUAGAGUAUCGGAGAGGUUGGUGGAAUUCUCGGUGUAGAGGUGAAAUUCGUAGAUAUCGAGAGGAACACCGGUGGCGAAGGCGGCCAACUGGACGAAUACUGACGCUGAGACUCGAAAGCGUGGGGAGCAAAC
rnacentral:rRNA from 1 species